UACAUGGGGUGCAAACGUUGCUCGGAAUUAUUGGGCGUAAAGCGCACGUAGGCGGUUCGUUAAGUCGGAUGUGAAAGCCCUCGGCUCAACUGAGGAAGUGCACCCGAAACUGGCGAGCUUGAGUACGAAAGAGGAUCGCGGAAUUCCCGGUGUAGAGGUGAAAUUCGUAGAUAGUCGGGAGGAACGACCGGUGGCGAAGGCGGGUCUCUGGGCCGAUACUGACGCUGAGGAGCGAAAGCGUGGGGAGCGAACAGG
rnacentral:rRNA from 1 species